UACGUAGGGACCAAGCGUUGUUCGGAUUUACUGGGCGUAAAGGGCGCGUAGGCGGCGUGACAAGUCACUUGUGAAAUCUCUGGGCUUAACCCAGAACGGCCAAGUGAAACUGUUGUGCUAGAGUGCAGAAGGGGCAAUCGGAAUUCUCGGUGUAGCGGUGAAAUGCGUAGAUAUCGAGAGGAACACCUGCGGCGAAGGCGGGUUGCUGGGCUGACACUGACGCUGAUGCGCGAAAGCCAGGGGAGCGAACGGG
rnacentral:rRNA from 1 species